rnacentral:rRNA from 1 species
AUGAACCCACAAUCAAAGAAUCAAUGUUAUGAUAAGAGAGAUUUUGUUGCCAGGAAGCACGGUAAAGAAAGAGAACCAUGGGUUCAGAAACCCACGCCCUUUCCUCCAAAACCAUCCAAGUCAAAGGAUGAUGAGGAUUUUGAGCGCUUUGCUGAAAUGAUUAGACCUAUUUUCUUACGUAUGCGCUUAACUGAUAUGCUGAAAGUAAAUCCUUAUGCUAAGUAUAUGAAGGAUAUCAUUUCAAAUAAAAGAAAGAUACCGAAAGCUGAAAUUUCCACCAUGCUUGCUAAUUACACUUUUAAGGGUGGAAUACCAAAGAAACUUGGAUAUCCGGGUGCGCCAACUAUACCUUGUUCCAUUAAAAGAAAUUAUGUUAGAACUACUUUAUGUGAUCUUGGAACCGGUGUUAGUGUCAUGCAUCUCUCUUUAUAUCGUAGACUUGAAUUGAAUAAGUUGACACCUACUGAAAUGUCUUUGCAAAUGGCUGAUAAAUCAACUGCUAUACCUGUCGGUAUUUGUGAGGAUGUGCCUGUUGUGGUUGCAAAUGUCACUAUCUUAACGGACUUUAUUAUUCUUGAUAUUCCCGAGGACGAUAGUACGUCUAUUAUCCUUGGUAGACCUUUUCUUAAUACUGCAGGGGCUGUUAUUGAUUGCAACAAAGGCAAUGUCACUUUUCAUGUUAAUGGUAAUGAGCAUACGGUACAUUUUCCGAGGAAACAAUAUCAAGUUCAUAGCAUCAAUUCUAUUGGACAAGUUCCAACUAUUAUUAUUGGAGGUUUUGAAUUUCCUAUCCCUACUGUCAAGAAAAAGUAUGAUAUUCUUAUUGUUGGCGAUUUUCAUAUCCCCGUUGAGGUAACUUAG